rnacentral:lncRNA from 1 species
AGCCAACAGCCAUUCAUCGAGCAUUUAUUUGGAAUCCAGGCGAUCCCCUGCGAUGAUUCUCAAGCUCUAAUUUGAGCAGCUGGACCUCUUGAACUCUGGUAUGUGGAAGUGGAGCUGCUUGCCAGCCUUUAGAGAAGGGUGCAGCAGAGAUUCGCCCUCCCUCAGUUCACACCCACUUUGUUCCAGGGUGGGGCGUCCAUUGCAAACGACAAAACCAACAAGACAAAAUACAAUCACGGGCAGUACAACUCAACUCGCUCAAACAACCAGGAAUUUUACAAUCUCACAGCAUGGAAAAUCCAAAGACAGGUGGCUCUGUUGACUUCACGUCCUCACAGGAUGAGGCUGUUCUUUGUUUUGUUUCUGAUGCUCUGCCACAUUCAGAAUGUUCAAGAUGAGGGUAACUUCUCCAGGUCUCUCCCAUCGGGGUCACAAGACAGCUGCCAUUCACUGAGAAAGACAUGGAGUCGUUCAUUCUUGCCAUCUUUUUAAAAAACAGAACUUCCCCGGGAGCUCUCCAACCCCUGCAGCCCUCAUCGGCCCGGGAUGCUUGACACACACAAGUUAUGCCUUGCCAAAACCCAUCGUCUGCACUCAGGACAGGGUACGGCUGUGCAGCCCUGAAUGAGAUAACUAAGUGGAGAAUGGUGGAUGUCUAAACUCAGUGCAGGCUCAGUUAGGAAAGGAGAAGGCUUUCCUGCCCAGGAUCUGGUACUCACAAUAAAUGCUCGAUGAAUGGCUGUUGGCUCUCCUUCCCUUGAGAGGUCUUCAGUGAGGGAGACGAACAUACGUGGCUUAGAGGCAGGAAAGGGUGUGAAUUGCACAGACAAAUGGCAUCAUGCGCUAAAGAGGGCCCAGCUUCCCUAGGCCCGGCGGACUUGGCUUCUCACCUGGCUCUCCAACUAACUGGUGCUCAUCUGCUUGGCUUUCCACCAACCAAUUGCCUUUUUUCUCUUUCAUCCAGC